AUACGUACCGUACAAACGUUAUUCGGAAUCACUGGGCUUAAAGGGUGCGUAGGCGGUGCGGUCAGUUGGGUGUGAAAUCCCUCGGCUCAACCGAGGAACUGCGCCCAAUACUGCCGUACUCGAGGGAGACAGAGGUAAGCGGAACUGAUGGUGGAGCGGUGAAAUGCGUUGAUAUCAUCAGGAACACCAGUAGCGAAGGCGGCUUACUGGGUCUCUUCUGACGCUGAGGCACGAAAGCUAGGGUAGCGAACGGGAUUAGAAACCCGGGUAGUCC
rnacentral:rRNA from 1 species